AGCGCAGGUGGUUUAUUAAGUCUGGUGUAAAAGGCAGUGGCUCAACCAUUGUAUGCAUUGGAAACUGGUAGACUUGAGUGCAGGAGAGGAGAGUGGAAUUCCAUGUGUAGCGGUGAAAUGCGUAGAUAUAUGGAGGAACACCGGUGGCGAAAGCGGCUCUCUGGCCUGUAACUGACACUGAGGCUCGAAAGCGUGGGGAGCAAACA
rnacentral:rRNA from 1 species